rnacentral:rRNA from 1 species
UACGUAGGUGGCAAGCGUUGUCCGGAUUUAUUGGGCGUAAAGCGCGCGCAGGUGGUGCGGUAAGUCUGCCGUGAAAUCUCCCGGCUCAACUGGGAGGGGCGGUGGAGACUGCCGGACUGGAGGGACUCAGAGGCCGGUGGAAUUCCCGGUGUAGUGGUGAAAUGCGUAGAGAUCGGGAGGAACACCAGUGGCGAAGGCGGCCGGCUGGGGGUGCCCUGACGCUGAGGCGCGAAAGCGUGGGGAGCGAACCGG